UGAACUAAGUGAUAUUGACUUUGUUGGAUUAUGUUAUGUUGACUCAUAGUGAAUUGAAUGGUGUUGUACUAUGAUGAAUUAUGUUUGAAUUACGUGAAUUGUGUAGGGUCAGCUACAGGGGCGGAUCAAGCACCUGAACACUGCGAGUAGUAGUACAAAAAUGUCACCAAUCAGGUGGUCAGUCCUAGCCAUGAUGCCGAUUUCUUUUGUCAACCUUCGUGUGUCCUGGCACUAUACACAGCCAUUGAUUUUGGUAAACUAAUAAGAUGUUGGCUUGCUUUUUGAAUGUCUAUCUAAGAUUGAUGUAUAUAGCUUUCAUGUUUUUGUAUAUGCCCAAUGAUAGGGCUAGGUCUGUAUAUAUGUAUAUAUAUAACUGAUGUUCAGGUGUAUGUUUUAGAUUUUAUUUGUCUGUUAAAAGUUUGUGAUCCUGGCAUGAUAGUAGUAGCUCGAUGGAGUUUGUUUCCAUUGUCAAGUUUUGAUAUUUAGUGCUUCCGUUCAGGCCCCAUAUGUAUAUAUAUAUAUAUAUAUAUAUAAAAUAGGUUAAGUGUCCGUUUCUGAAGUGGUCAUGCCCAAACUUCUAGGGGCGGGUUUGGGGCAUGACAGCGGCUCUGCAGCAUCAUCUCUUCCCGUUUCUCUCUCGCUUUCUCUUCAACGGACCACCAUCAAGUUUGUGAUUGAAACAUUGUGUCUGAAGCAUUGUGGACUUCCUUAAGACCUUUUAUAUCGAAACAUUGUGGUAAGAAUUUGA